ACUAGACCAUUUUCUUUGGAUGCAAUGCAUACAUUGCCCAUUAACAUGAAGUGAUGCGUGGAGCCGAUAUAAUAAAAAUUUUAAAAAUAAAAACAAAUGGGACCAACUUCAAUGGCUCAUAUCUGGCCGCGGUCUAUUUCAAAUUCAGCAUGGACUGUACAGGGCUGGGUCUAGAUAGGCCAUUUAAGGGUCUGUUUUGACAUUGCCAUGA
rnacentral:misc_RNA from 1 species